AGUGAACGCUGGCGGUAGGCCUAACACAUGCAAGUCGAACGGCAGCACAGGAGAGCUUGCUCUCUGGGUGGCGAGUGGCGGACGGGUGAGGAAUACAUCGGAAUCUGCCCAGUCGUGGGGGAUAACGUAGGGAAACUUACGCUAAUACCGCAUACGACCUUCGGGUGAAAGAGGGGGAUCGCAAGACCUCUCGCGAUUGGAUGAGCCGAUGUCGGAUUAGCUAGUUGGCGGGGUAAUGGCCCACCAAGGCGACGAUCCGUAGCUGGGCUGAGAGGAUGAUCAGCCACACUGGAACUGAGACACGGUCCAGACUCCUACGGGAGGCAGCAGUGGGGAAUAUUGGACAAUGGGCGCAAGCCUGAUCCAGCCAUACCGCGUGGGUGAAGAAGGCCUUCGGGUUGUAAAGCCCUUUUGUUGGGAAAGAAAUCUUUCAGGCUAAUACCCUGGGAGGAUGACGGUACCCAAAGAAUAAGCACCGGCUAACUUCGU
rnacentral:rRNA from 1 species